AUUGAACGCUGGCGGCAGGCUUAACACAUGCAAGUCGAGCGGGGGAGGUUGCUUCGGUAACUGACCUAGCGGCGGACGGGUGAGUAAUACUUAGGAAUCUGCCUAUUAAUGGGGGACGACAUCUCGAAAGGGAUGCUAAUACCGCAUACGCUCUACGUGGGAAAGCAGGGGAUCACUUGGGACCUUGCGUUAAUAGAUGAGCCUAAGUCGGAUUAGCUAGUUGGUGGGGUAAAGGCCUACCAAGGCGACGAUCUGUAGCGGGUCUGAGAGGAUGAUCCGCCUCACUGGGACUGAGACACGGCCCAGACUCCUACGGGAGGCAGCAGUGGGGAAUAUUGGACAAUGGGGGGAACCCUGAUCCAGCCAUGCCGCGUGUGUGAAGAAGGCCUUAUGGUUGUAAAGCACUUUAAGCGAGGAGGAGGCUCUUUUGGUUAAUACCCAAGAUGAGUGGACGUUACUCGCAGAAUAAGCACCGGCUAACUCUGUGCCAGCCGCCGCCGUAA
rnacentral:rRNA from 1 species